rnacentral:pre_miRNA from 1 species
AGUUUUGCGUGUUUAGCACCGCGUUUUGUUGGACAUUGCUGUGCAAACCUACGCAAAGCUGA